rnacentral:tRNA from 1 species
GGGCCCGUAGCUCAACGGCAGAGCGCCCGCCUUGCACGCGGGAGGCUAGGGGUUCAAAUCCCCUCGGGUCCA